rnacentral:rRNA from 1 species
CUGGCUCAGGAUGAACGCUGGCGGCGUGCCUAACACAUGCAAGUCGAGCGAGAAGCUACCUAUGAUCCUUCGGGAGAUUAGACUAGUGGACAGCGGCGGACGGGUGAGUAACGCGUAAAUAACCUGCCAUACACACAAGGAUAGCCAUCGGAAACGGUGAUUAAUACUUGAUGAAGCUACAUAUUCGCAUGAAUGAGUAGUUAAAGAAUUUUGGUGUAUGAUGGAUUUGCGUUUGAUUAGCUAGUUGGUAAGGUAAAGGCUUACCAAGGCAAUGAUCAAUAGCCGGCCUGAGAGGGUGAACGGCCACACUGGAACUGAGACACGGUCCAGACUCCUACGGGAGGCAGCAGUGGGGAAUACUGCACAAUGGAGGGAACUCUGAUGCAGCAACGCCGCGUGAACGAAGAAGGCUUUCGAGUCGUAAAGUUCUGUUAUAGGGGAAGAAGAAGUGACGGUACCCUAUGAGAAAGCCACGGCUAAUUACGUGCCAGCAGCCGCGGUAAUACGGAGGGUGCAAGCGUUAUCCGGAUUUAUUGGGUUUAAAGGGUGCGUAGGCGGGCCGGCAAGUCAGUGGUGAAAUCCCGCAGCUCAACUGCGGAACUGCCAUUGAAACUACCAGCCUCGAGUACGGUUGAAGUGGGUGGAAUGUGUCAUGUAGCGGUGAAAUGCAUAGAUAUGGCACAGAACGCCGAUAGCGGAGGCAGCUCACUAAACCGAGACUGACGCUGAGGCACGAAAGCGUGGGUAGCGAACAGGAUUAGAUACCCUGGUAGUCCACGCCGUAAACGAUGAUAACUCGAUGUGUGCGAUAUACAGUACGCGUCCAAGCGAAAGUGAUAAGUUAUCCACCUGGGGAGUACGUCCGCAAGGAUGAAACUCAAAGGAAUUGACGGGGGCCCGCACAAGCGGAGGAGCAUGUGGUUUAAUUCGAUGAUACGCGAGGAACCUUACCUGGGCUUAAAUGUAGGAUGACUCAUGCCGAAAGGCGUGUUCCUUCGGGCAUUUUGCAAGGUGCUGCAUGGUUGUCGUCAGCUCGUGCCGUGAGGUGUCGGGUUAAGUCCCAUAACGAGCGCAACCCUUACUCCCAGUUGCCAUCACUUCGGGUGGGGACUCUGGGGGAACUGCCUACGCAAGUAGCGAGGAAGGUGGGGAUGACGUCAAAUCAGCACGGCCCUUAUGUCCAGGGCUACACACGUGCUACAAUGGCCUGUACAGAGGGCAGCUACCCGGCGACGGGGUGCCAAUCUCAAAAACGGGUCUCAGUUCGGAUCGGAGCCUGCAACUCGGCUCCGUGAAGUUGGAUUCGCUAGUAAUCGCGUAUCAGCAACGACGCGGUGAAUACGUUCCCGGGCCUUGUACACACCGCCCGUCAAGCCAUGGGAGUCGGGGGUACCUGAAGUCGAUAACCGCAAGGAGUCGCCUAGGGUAGACCGAUGACUGGGGCUAAGUCGUA